rnacentral:tRNA from 1 species
GAGGGUGUAGCUCAGUGGUAGAGCCUAUGAUUAGCAUGCACAAGUCCCUAGGUUCAAUCCCCAGUGCCUCCA